rnacentral:tRNA from 2 species
UGGGAUUGUAGUUCAAUUGGUCAGAGCACCGCCCUGUCAAGGCGGAAGGUGCGGGUUCGAGCCCCGUCAGUCCCGAC